AUACUACUCAGAUUCCCAAAACUUUCGAGGACCUGAUUGCUGUCUCUCUGGGUUAUGUCCUUCUUUACUUGAGCAUUGUAAACUUAUUCAUGGAAACAUUUAAGUAAAAAUCAGAUACUCUUCUAUUGCAGUAGUGGAUUUUCUAUUAACUUUGACAAAUCUCAUCAUUUCCUUGGUAUGUUGGCAGGAAAAACACAGUCAAGUUGAAAGAACCUAAAAUGAUUAUCUAGUUUUGGCUCUAUUUAAAGAGAGGAUUGCUGAAAUUAAUUCUAGAUAUUUAAAACAUUUGGAUGUUAGUUAAUCUGCAGUUGAUAUUUGCAGGGGAUCAUUGCAUGUGUUAACUGCUGCAAAAAAAAAAAAAAAAAAAAGCCAGCCCCAAACUCAGUGGCUUCAAAUAAUAAACAUGUAUUAUUACUUGAGUAUACUUAUGCAUCCUGUCAGGGCUGAAUUGUGUAGGUUGUUCUGCUUAUCUUGACUGAACUCUUUCACACAUUUGGGAUUUGCUGCCUGUAGAGUAGUCUGGUAGAUUUGGCUCCAUCACGUGGACUCUUCUCCCUGUCGUCUCUCAUCCUCCGUCAGACAAAUUAGGAGUCGCUCACAUAGGAAUGGCAGGGUUCCAGUAUUAUUUUUUGAAUACAGUGAUGACAUCCUACUUUUAUGUUCAUUCUGAAUUAAUAAAAUAUGUAGUAACUGUUAGUGCAAACAAUUGUGACCUGACUGGAAGAAAACGAAAAUCCUUGAGGAUGUUUUCACACACAAUAAAUGCAUACUAAUUAAGCUAGUAUGAAGCUUUACAUUCAGAGAAAAAUAAGAUUUUUAGAUUCAAGAGUCCAUGUGCAGGUUUGUUGUUUAGGUAAAUUGUGUGAAACUGGGGUUUGGUGUACAGAUUAUUUUGUCACCCAAGUAGUAAGGAUAGUACAUGAUAGGUAGUUUUUUGAUCCUCACCCUCCUCCCACUGUCCACCCUCAAGUGGGCCCUAGUGUCCUUGUGUUCCUUCCUUGUGCUCAUAUAUACUCAGUGUUGAACUCACACUUAUAAGUGAUAGCAUGUAGUAUUUGAUUUUCUUUUCCUGUGUGUGUUUGCCUAGGAUAAUGGCCUUCAGCUCCAUCCAUAUUUCUGCAAAAGACCUGUGAUCUCAGCUACUCGGGAGGCUGAGGCAUGAGAAUCGCUUGAAUCCAGGAGGCAGAGGUUGCAUAUAAGGGUAUAAUCUUUAAAAAUUAUCGCAACAAUUUGAUGUACAAGUUAUCCCCAUUUGCAAAUGAGAAAAGUCAUGUCAGAGAGUUUAAGUCCUUUGCGAAAGUCUGGGUCCAUGCAUAUAUGCUAUGUACAUACAUAGCUACAUACAUAUAUGCUAUGUAUUAUCUGACUGACUUAUGCUAAAUAUAGACAUUCUAUAAAGCAUCCUGUCCUAGGUACAUGGCUUAUCACUAU
rnacentral:lncRNA from 1 species